GUGCCAGCAGCCGCGGUAAUACGAACCGUACGAACGUUAUUCGGAAUCACUGGGCUUAAAGGGUUUGUAGGCGGCCUUGCAAGUGGGGUGUGAAAUCCCUCGGCUCAACCGAGGAAUAGCGCUCCAAACUGCAUGGCUUGAGGGAGACAGGGGUAAGCGGAACUGAUGGUGGAGCGGUGAAAUGCGUUGAUAUCAUCAGGAACACCGGUGGCGAAAGCGGCUUACUGGGUCUCUUCUGACGCUGAGAAACGAAAGCUAGGGUAGCGAACGGGAUUAGAAACCCCGGUAGUCC
rnacentral:rRNA from 1 species